rnacentral:rRNA from 1 species
GACGAACGCUGGCGGCGUGCUUAACACAUGCAAGUCGAACGGAAAGGCCCUGCUUGUGUGGUGUGCUCGAGUGGCGAUCGGGUGAGUAACACGUGAGUAACCUGCUCUUGUCUUUGGGGUAACUUCAGGUAACUGGGGCUAAUACCGUAUAGGAGCUCCUGCUGCAUUGUGGGGGUUGGAAAUUUUCGGCGGGUGUGGAUGGACUCGCGGCUUAUCAGCUUGUUGGUCGGGUAGUGGCUUACCAAGUCUUAGACGGGUAGCCGGCCUGAGAGGGUGAACGGCGACAAUGGGACUGAGAUACGCAGCAGACUCCUACGGGAGGCAACAGUGGGGAAUAUUGUACAGUGGGCGGAAGCGUGAUGCAGAAGCGCCGCGUUCGGGAUGACGGCUUGUGGGUUGUAAACAGCAUUCGGCUGUGACGAAGCGGGAGUGACGGUAAUGGGUAAAGAAGCACCGGCUAACUACGUG